rnacentral:lncRNA from 1 species
GAGGUACGCGAUUUAUCAAUACACCGCCUUAGAAUAUUUUAAUAUCUUAUUUAUGAAUUAUAGUUUUUCCAUUUGUUAAGAGUAAAAGAUUAUUGAAAUUUUGAUAGUUUUCACAAAAUUAUGGAAGAUUGGAAGUGACUUGAACUAACUUGGAGUCAAAAUUCCGAGCUACAUUGUAAUAUCAUGUGAUCACGAUCGGUCUUUAAAUACAUAAUACUUCGAAACAUUCGCCGGCAAAUGGAUACAUUUGAUCGAAAACUAUAAUUAAAGAAACAAUCACACAAACAAACAACCCAAGCAUAUAAACGCUUAUCAAAACUUAUUGUUUGCCUACCCAAUCUCAACUAAACAUACUACUAGCGCUGGACAUAAAAUACCGAAAACCGAAAUAUAGAACCGAAUUAAAAAUUUUGGUAAUUGAUAUUCGGUAAUUCGGUAUUUGGUAUGGUAUUUGGGAGUAAAAUUUCAAUAUUUUGAUAUUUGGGAUUGGGUUUGGUACAAGAUAUUAAUACCAUUUGAUAUUCAGUAUUUAUCGAAUACCGAAUUAUAUAUAUAUAUAUGUGUGUGUGUGAAGAAUAUACACUGAUAUACAUCUCUUCUCCCUUACAAAAUCCGCACCAUAUUCACUAUUUGAGUAAGCACUUUGGGAUUCAUUUGAUUCAUGUGAAUCGAAGUGUUAUUAUUGUUAAAGAGAGUAGCUCCGAUCCACUAGUUGAGUCAAAAGUUGUGAUGUCCACGAUCUUCUGCAAGACUCUACGCUUGAGUGAGGCUCAAAGGGCGAGCGAUUUGCUUUUGUUUCCCUGAACUCUCUGCCACAGCUGAUACUUUGCACUUGCACUAGCAGUUUAUGAACCUGAAUGGAACUUACAGAUUUAUGUAUAUUCUAUUUUUCCAGACACGUUUAUGGAAUGACACUGAUUUGUUGUUAUUAUCGCGACCAGUAUUACAUAAAACUUUCAUCUUGGCUUAACUAUAUCGUAGAUAAGAGAAGAAGAAAGUCUAGCCGGAAUGAACUUUUUUACCUAAGAAAUAAAGUACAUGAAAGCAAGCAGAGGUAGUGUGACCCUCCCGAUGGAGGGUGGGUCAAGCAGAACUGACAGGCUUUUGGGUUGGCAAACUUAUGUCAAGUAAGGAUUAUUGGAUGGUGUAAAUAUUACAUAAAACUUUUUUAUUUAUAGCAUCAACCAAAUACAACUCAACCUAAAAGUUGUAAAUUUGUGUAGAUAUUUUUUGCUAAAAGAAUUUCAUUGGUGAAUGUCUAUGGACUUUGAAGGGGAGUCUUGGAGUAACUGACAAAGUUGUUGUCAUGUGAUCAGGAGGUCACGGGUUCAAGCCUUGGAAACAGCCUCCGACAGAAAUGCAAGGUAAGGCUGCUUACAAUACACCUUUGUGGUCUGGCCCUUCCCCGGACCCUGUGCAUAGCAGAAGCUUUAGUGCACCGGGCUGCCCUUUUUAAUGUCUCUGGACUUUUGUUAAAAGGAUUGAUGCUGGAAAGAAAGAUUAAGGCCGCCCUUCUCCUGGAUAAAAACAUCGAGGCUACCCUUCACCGGGACAAAAACGUAAAAGCUGCCCUUCCCUGGGAUAGAAACAUUGAGACUACCCUUCACCGGGACAAAAAUACUGAAGAUGCCCUUCCCCGGGACAAAAAUAUUGAGGCUUCCCUUCACCGGGACAAAAACAUUGAGGGUGCCCUUCUCCGGGAUAGAUACAUUGAGGCUGCCCUUCCGAGAUAGAAACUUUGAGGCUGUCCCUCCCUGUGACGCAAAUACUGACGCUCACAUUCUCCGGGAUAGAAACAUUGAGGCAGCCUUUCUCCGGGAUAGAAACAUCGAGGCUGCCGUUCUCUGGGAUAGAAACAUCGAGGCUGUCAUUCUCCGGGAUAGAAAUAUCGACGAUGCGCUUAUCCGGAAUAGAAACAUUGAUGCUGCCCUUAUACGGAAUAGAAACAUUGAGGCUGUCAUUUCCCAUAUUGUUUUGUUCCUCCUGUACUCUUUGAACUGACAUUUCAACAGCCACUGAACACGAAAGCACCUCAAUGCAUUGUAAUGUACAAAUGUUCCCUACUUCAUGAGGAAAAUUUUCUAGUGAGUAACAACUUUCUAGAACUAGAUGUUCAAGUUUUAGAAAGUUUACCUCGCUAGCGUUCCAUACCCUGAGGUUAAAAGCGACCAUUUUUAGGUACUUCAAGUGACUAAACACUUCUUCGGUCAGAUUCCAAGUGUGUUGCUCAAAUUCUACACACUCUAGUUUAAGAAUCUCAAGAUUAGGUAACAUACAAAGAGAGCUCGUAAAUCCACAUGAAAGAGAACACCGAUUCAGAACCAAUUUCUUGAGGUUUGACGGGAAAAAAUCCAUGCUAGACAAGUUGUGGUAGCAAAGCUUCAAUUUUUCGAGUUGCUUCAAGUGGAAAAGAUUAUUGAGGUAAUAGGAUGGAUGACUACUUGCACCAUCUCCGUGUCCUUGUAUCGCCAAUUUCUUGAGGUUGGGAACAUUCUCGGCGACCUCUCUUGUACAACUCAUUAUGUCCACAUAGGUUAUUGUUUGUAGAUUUGUUAAAACCUUACAACCAUUGAAGCUAGACAUGGGAUUAGGUAAAAAACAUCCGUUGCCCAAACAUACAUGCCUUAAGUUUUCCAUUUCCCAUACAGUUUUAGGCAGAUUCAAGAUUCCGCGUGUAUCCAAAACAAAGGUCUGUAAGUUCCAAAGCCUUGAAAUUAAUUCAGGGCAUUUGGGAUCCUUGACUGUCAGAGCAAGAUACCUUAAAUGGACCAGUUGCAGAACUUGAGUGGGGAAAUAAUCGAAGGUAACAUGUACUAUGCGCAAUACUCUCAACAAUUUAUAUUGUAAAGAACCAAGCAACCGUGACCAAAAACAUGGAGCUAUCUCGGAACUGGAAAGAAGUAAAGUUCGGGAGAGGGGAAGCAAUGGCUUCCAGGGAACUUCAAUAGAGGCAGCAGUAUAGUAACUGAGACGACGGCCACAGUGCAGAGCAUCGGCUGUGGCAAAGAAUUCAGGGAAAUGGAAAAAAUUCUCCCUUUGAGCUUCUCUCAAGCCUAAGUCUCUCAGAAGAUCAUGUACAGCACAACUUUUGACUCGACCAUUGGAUUUCCGCUGUUUGACAAUAACAAGACUCCGAUUCACAAGAUCUUCCAAACAUUCUUCCGCAUAGUUUUCAAAGGUCUUUUGUUUUCCUGUAGUUAGGAACCCCUCAGCAAUCCAUAGAUUUACCAAUAGCUGGACACGAAUCGCAGUCUCUGCUGGAAAUGCACAAAUAUAAAUGAAACAAGCUUUCAAGUGAUGUGGCAAGUUUCUGUAACUCAAAGCAAGUAUAUCUAAGCAUUUCUUGUACUCAUCGGUAACAGUUGAACCAACAGUUUUUGCAAAAGUCUCCCAACACAUCCUAGUCCUUUGUAACUUAGAUAGCUGGCCAGCCACCACAAGAAUUGUUAGAGGUAGCCCUUGGCAUCGUUCUGCAAUCUUCUUUCCGAUAUCCUUUAAAUCUGAAUGGUCGAAUUUUCUUCCAAACACCUUCUGACAUAGAAGCUCCCAACUUUCCUCCAAAUCCAAGAACUUUAAGCAGUACGGAGCGCUGUCAGAUUUAGCAAGUAAUGCCACUUCCGUAAGUCGGGUAGUUAGCAAGAUCCGGCUUCCAUUCUUGUCGUCAGGGAAACACCUUCUAACUUUAUCCCAAACCUCUGUGGACCACACAUCAUCCAAGACAAUGAGAUACCGAUUAUGCUUUAACUUUCUAUACAACAUUUCUUCCAAUUGCUCACUGUGUUUCUCAUGAAUCUCAUCGAUAAACUCAACAAUACCAUCCAGUAGACCAAGAAACAGUCCUUUCACUUGAUGGUCUUUCACUGUGACCCAAGCACGAAUACUGAAGUGAUAUUGAAUGAAGCUAUCAUCAUAAACCAUUCUAGCAAGGGUGCUUUUGCCUAUGCCACCCAUACCGACAAGAGAGACAAUCUCUAACUUUGACGAGAAAGAACAAAGCCGCGUUUUUAUUUCCAACACAUCAUCGUCUAAGCCAACCACAAUGUCUUGUACUGCCGGACUUUUUUCCUGUGAACUUUCAAGCAAAUAACUCUCAGAGGCAUUAACAUCUGCAUGACAAGACAUUUGCUCAUAGAUCUUCAUCACUUCCAAUUCAAUCAACUUAGUUUCAUCCACGAUUUGGGACAAGCAUCCCUUGGUGCUAUACACCCUAUCGUAACACUUCAAUAGGUCCAUGUCUUUCCAACUAAAGAAAGCCAAUUCCUCAACAUAAUCUUGUGCUCUAUAAGACACAUCUCGAAUCCGUCUCUCCAAAUCUUCCACCUUUCCAAGAUCAUCACAUUUAUUUGUCCAAUCCUCGAGAAAUCUCUUGAAAAUACCAAGUUUUUCAGAAAGAAAUUGACAGUGUUCAUCCUUAUCAAGAUUCAGAAAAGGGUUGGAACUAAAAGUCUGAUCAAGGGUCUGUAAGCAAACUUUCACAGCAGCAAAAGCCAUUCAACCUCCCUAUUCUUCAAAUCUUGUUAACAAGAAGAAGAAUCAAAUGAAUCCCAAGUGCAAGAACACAAACGAGAGCAUUAAAAAGCAAUCUUUGACAACUUAACAAGAAGAAUCUUUUUCUAACCCCUCCGUAGGAGCUCCCACCCUUUUUGCUCCCUUUAUGACUCGAACUCAGAACCUUAGGGAUGGAAGUGAAGGGUGUUUACUAUCCGAGCAACUCCCUCUUGUCAACAACAAGAAGAAUCAAAUGAAUCCCAAGUACAAGAACACUAAAGAGAGCAUAAAAAAGCAAUCUUUGAUAACCUCUCCGUAGGUGACUCGAACUCACAACCUCAGUAUUAGAAGUGAGCAACUCCCUCUUGUCAACAAGAAGAAAAAUCAAACGAAUCCCAAUUGCAAGAACACUAAAGAGAGCAUAAAGAGGCAAUCUUUGACAACAUAACAAGAAGAAGAAUCAAAUGAAUGAAUCCCAAGUACAAGAACACUUAAGAGAUCAUAAAGAAGCAAUCUUUGACAACAUAACAAGAAGAAGAAUCAAAUGAAUGAAUCCCAAGUACAAGAACACUUAAGAGAUCAUAAAGAAGCAAUCUUCGACAACAUAACAAGACGAAGAAUCAAAUGAAUGAAUCCCAAGUACAAGAACACUUAAGAGAUCAUAAAGAAGCAACCUUUGACAACAUAACAAGAAGAAGAAUCAAAUGAAUGUCAAGUGCAAGAACAAUGUAAAGAUCAGAAAGAGAUAAGGAGAAUUACCUCUUUACUAUACAAAAAUGAAGCAUGUGGACGAGGAUGAAUGUUGACUCAAAUAGCGUUUCUGGGUGGACUUUGUACGGAAGAAGAGAUGUAUAUCAGUGUAUGUUUUCCAUAUCUGUGUGAUGUAUAUAGUAGUGAUAUACAAUGUAGCUUUGAAUUUUGACUCCAAAUUAGUUCAACUCACUUCCAAUUUUAUUUGUAGGAUACUUUGUUUUUGUUUUUUUUUUCAUUCGGUGUUUGGUGUCUGCAUUGGAGCUCCAACUAAUUCGGAUUGCGUGUUGCAGAGCCCAUUAAGGGGGCAACGCUCCAAAAAGAAUUUUCUCCAUAUUCAAGGCUCAGAUGCGAGACCUCUGAUUAAGGGUGAAGCAGCUUCACCACUGCACCACAACCCAUAGUGGUGCAUGAUACCAUCUUUUCUUAUCUUUUAGGUGUACAAAUGAAAAAUUUUCUUAUAAGAUGGACA